AAGAGAGUUAGCGAUGAUUCACAAGAACCUUGUAGUUCAACAUCAUUGUCGGGUUCCGGGGACCUUGCCCGUGUCUGGGGAAUUCUUGGCUCCACCCCUGUUUGAAAGACUUCGAUUUACGUAAAACGUCUUUGACUAUAGAAGUCCAUAGUAACCAAUGAUGUUAUUAUGAACAGUCUUUGUUCCUUACGUCGAUAGGUUGAGUCUUUUGAAACUCAAUUAUUAUACUUAUGCUACGUAUGUGUUGCAACAUUUUACUAACUUACUUUAUACAGACUAUUUCUUUGUGUGAAUAACACUAAUACCUGUCCCAAGUCUGGAUAUAGCAUUAAUAACUCAUAUCGUGUUGGGAGAAAACAUUUAUUAUUAGUUUUAUCCCACAAUACAAUCGAUGUCCUAGAAUUGAUGCAAGUUUAAAGGAUGUGAUACUUAAAUCAUCGUGAUAUUGACGUCUAUUGAAAUUAAAACGAAAUCACAUGUCAGUAAAUUAUUUUUUAUGGUCUAAAAUAUACAUUACAUUUGCAAUUUACAAUUUUAGUCUUUUAUUAACAAUAAGAUCUUAUGGUUGAUGAAUACCAGACACCCUUAUAGACUCUCCAAUAUUUUAAUUACAAAAAAAGAAAUUCGAGAUAAUUCGAUUCAUGUGAAGUUUAGAAAAUGACACGUAUUAUAUGAGGACAAUAGUGACACAAACAAACGAACAUCGCUCCUAUAUCAUUCAAAUAUGAGAUUCCGAAAAAAGAAUUCUUAUUUCAAGAAUUUUUUAUGCCAAUUAGAAUGUAAAUAUGAUAAUAGAUUGUGUGAUCAAGAUAGUGCAACUCACGCAAUCUCUGCACGUUUCCUUACGCACACGUUAAAUAGGAAAAAAAUCACAUUAAUCAUGAUGAUAUUAGCUGGAGAAAAGUGCCGAAAUUAUAUGACGUUGAACUCUAUGUUCCCUACGUACGUAUUCGUUGAUUAUAACCACUUGUAGCUAAGUCAGACCGUCUCACGAUUUCCCCUUCAUAUAGUUCUUGCUCUAGUUUUAUCGUCUCGCGAAUAACUAUAAGAAUUUUCUAUACUCAUAGCAGUAGAACUGUUGGUGCGUGCUAAUAUUAGCAAUAUAUAUAACAACGACUUAUUAUUAUAUCACUUGGAUUUUACCUCAUAUGACUGACUUCAGAAUUCGCGAUGAAUUUUAAUGUUCACAACGAGCAAUCAUCUCUUCGGGCCUGUUAUUUAAGUCUUUUUCUUUCCUGUUUGGAGAUUGCUCGAAAGACAUUGUUUACCGAUGAAAAACCAUACAUGCGUUGUUUAGAAAGAUUGCAGCAGUAUCCACAGAACUUCCGUUCCUCUUUGUGUAAGCAAUAUACUCAGUGUAUGUCUUACCCGUGACGUCAAUGGUUUAAGAUGUUCGUCGACUGUAAAAUAUCUUGUCAUUCAUAAUUUUCUUCAUACCGAUUGAUGAAACGGGAGAAAUUGCUUUGUGUGAGUCGUUGUAUUUAAAAGGUUUCUUUGUCGUACUUUGUUGCUAUGUGUUAUGUAUAGUUACGUUCAAACUGUUUAUUUUAGAGUGAUGGUGCUGUUCUUCCUUUCCCUGCAGUUACAUCUCAUUUGAUGUCGUCUUUACAGUUUACAAUCCUCUUCCUCUUGUUGCCUUCCUUAACUGAAUGGCGCGUAUUUGACUAUUGCCUUACCAUUAUACUUCCUCGUGACUUAACGCAUCUGGUUUAUGUUCAUUUAAUAGAAAAUAUAAAUAUGCAAUUCA